rnacentral:rRNA from 1 species
CGGACGGGUGAGUAACGCGUGGAAAACCUGCCGUAUACUGGGGGAUAACACUUAGAAAUAGGUGCUAAUACCGCAUAAGCGCGACAGCUUCGCAUGAAGUGGUGUGAAAAACUCUGGUGGUAUACGAUGGUUCCGCGUCUGAUUAGCUUGUUGGUGGGGUAAUGGCUCACCAAGGCGACGAUCAGUAGCCGGCCUGAGAGGGUGAACGGCCACAUUGGGACUGAGACACGGCCCAAACUCCUACGGGAGGCAGCAG